rnacentral:misc_RNA from 1 species
GAUGAAGAACGUAGCGAAAUGCGAUACGUAAUGUGAAUUGCAGAAUUCAGUGAAUCAUCGAAUCUUUGAACGCAUAUUGCGCUCUCUGGUAUUCCGGAGAGCAUGCUUGUUUGAGUAUCAGUAAACACCUCAACUUCCAUAUCUUUUUUGAAAUGGGAGUUGGACUUGAGUGAUCCCAACGCUUUUCCUCACCGAAAAGUGGCGGGUUACUUGAAAUGCAGGUGCAGCUGGACUUUUCUCUGAGAUAUAAGCAUAUCUAUUUAGUCUGCCUAAAAAACAGAUUAUUACCUUUGCUGCAGCUAACAUAAAGGAGAUUAGUUCUUGUGCUGACUGAUGCAGGAUUCACAAAGACAGGCUUCGGCCGACUUUGUAAACUCGAUCUCAAAUCAAGUAAGACUACCCGCUGAACUUAAGCAUAUCAAUAAGCGGAGGA